GCUUUUUAUUGAUGAUUUUCCUCCUCCUUAUACAUUGGAAUAGGGUUAGGUAUAACUAAAUUUAUAAACUACAUUUCUUCUAUGCAAAUAACUAACUUUGACCAUAUGGUAAGACACAUUUCUCGUUUUUUGUUGUUUUGUAUGAAUCAGCUUAGAUGCAUAGGGAAAUAAUAAAAUCAAAUUUAUGAUGGCUUGCAAAUUUGGUGAAGGACUAAAAGCUUUCUUAGGAAAAGGUUAA
rnacentral:lncRNA from 1 species